ensembl:lncRNA
CGCGGGCAGGUCCCGCGCGGGACCGCGGAGCUGCGCGGCCCCCUCGCCUCCCGGCCGCAGACACCUGCCGCGUCCGGGCGCGCCCGGCCCGGCCAAUACCUGUCUGCCAUGCCACCUGCAUUGGAGCCAGCAGAUUAUGGACUGAAACCUCUACAAACUAGAACAAUACUUACACAAGUGUUCAUGAAGUAAAAUGAAGUAACACUGCACUCUACAAAGAGAAUUUCAGAAUAAAAAGCAUUAAGGAUGAAUGGUGUGCAUUACGGAGAUCGCUGCCAUAUGCUUGAUGCCACUUUUCUACCAAGCUCAUUUAUGAAAUUCAGAGGCACUAAUUUAUCUAAGAAGUGGAGUGAUAAUGCUUUGAAGCCAAAGAAAAUAACAGAAAUGUAGUAAAUACAAAAGCCACAUUAAUAAUCAUUCCUCUGACCCUGAUUUCUGUCUUUUCUUUUACAUUGUCUUUUAAGAAUUAAAUCCAAAUGGCAGUUUUAAUAGUAUAAUCAUUAUUCAAUCUCAACAGAAGUUUGGGUGUCUCAAUUCCCGGAGUAGGCAGUUCUUUUCUAUUUCAAAGGAAAGAAAUGUGGCCAAUAGAAAGUGCUAUAACCAAAGAAUUUCUAAGAUGCACUCAUGGCAUGCAAAAUACAUUUUAAUGACAUUUCCCAUGCAAGAUUAACUAUUUAAUCUCCUUUUAGUGGAAAGAGAGUGAUAAAGAUGUAUUAACCAGGUCCUUAAGUAUUAAAAAAUGCCAUUUUCCAAAACAAUCUGGACCCUUGGUUCUUAAACAAGAGCCAAGAUCUGCCUUACAUGAACUGACUCAGUUAAUACAUUUUCUGCUAUUUAAAGUAACAUACUUUGUGUAUUUUAUUGGUGAAUGAAUCCAGUUGUUUUUUUGAGAUUAUGAAGAUCUACACAUUUAUAUUUGCAAUUUAAUUUCAGAAACUGAAAAUGUUGUUAUCAGUGUCAUGUAUAUUUUUGCACAAAAUAUAAUUGUUUUAAAAAGAAAAUACUCAUGGAGUAGAUAAGACAAAAGAAUCUAGAAAUAGAGAAGCUGGCAGUGACCAUAGCUGUUAAUAGCAAACCCCUUCCCACUUGAGAAGAGGAUGUCGUGGCACUUUGGGCCCCUGGAACUGGACAAGACCUCAAGAAAGGAAGGGUUGAAUCGUUAUAAAAACCCAGCUUCUGUUCUUAUGGAUGGUCUCUCGUGAUUUGUGAGAAACUUUCACUUCGGUUCUCAGCAUUAUUUAAUCUUGGCUACAGUCCAGUGAUGAACAUCUUGAGAUAUUCAUGAGGAUGAAAGCUGAAUUCAGUGCAAAAUAAUUUAACCCUUUGUGGCCCUCUGUCUUUCAAAUCCAGUAUCGAUGGGGACCUGGUUCUUUUCCACUGUCAGGUAUGGAAAUACACUGACUCACAUUCUCUCCCUGUGGACCAUUUUGCUUGUGUGAAGCAUCAUUAAUGAGCCACGGUAAAAUAUGUGACCAGAGGUUAUUGUUUAUGAUAAAACUGAGGUUGUAUCUUCAUAAUAAUAACCCAUUAAAAUUAAUCACUCCGUAAUGGGGACUGUUUAAUGAGAGUUCCUUCUCGCCUACUUGGUUCAGGCCUGGAUUGAGUUGACAGAUUUGACUAUGGAUUUUGUCAUAGAGAAAUCUGCUUAAUGCAUUUAUCUCAGUUUUGCCUUUCUCCCUUUUGGUUCCCCCAAUUACCAUCUCACAGACUCCAUGUAGCUGGGGACGCUGUAAGGACACUAGGUGUGAGACUGGGCCUUUGUCCAGAGUUGACGGUGGGAAGACUCCAGCACAGACUCAGGAGGAGGUUAGUGAUCAGCCACAUGGGAUUCUGUGGCUUUGAUCAAAUUAUAUAACUUUUUCGAUAAAUGGGACAGAAUUAUGUAAGAGUGAAGCGAUACAUGCAAAUCAUCUAUUACAGUGUAUAGCAUAUUUCAAGCACUCAGUCAGUGGUGCUUGGUGAUUUCUGGAAAGAGGAUUACUGUUGAAGAAUGGUUAAAAUUGUUGCAGUGUGGGUUUGCAUGGAGUUUUUCAGAUGAAAGGAUUUGAAUCCAAAGAAUGUAGAGUUAGGGCCGGGGAUGAAGGAGAACGAGAUCAUAAAAUCACAGGUGUAUUAGGCAUUUACUGUGUUCUGGAUGCUUUGGUAGAGCAAAGGAAGACAUAAGAGGAAGUUGGAGAACAUCAAACUUAACUUUCACCUGAGUACAAUUCUCCCUGAUCCCUUUGCACAACUUUCUACUUCCAAGAUAAUCUGAGUUGUACCUUUAGAGGCAAUUUGCUCAUUUAUGACCUAGAUUAAAAAGCCCAUUUUGAUAAUUACAAUGACUCACUGUAUUUUCUUGAAAAUGUGCUACUAAGGAAAACCCAUGAGGUGUUUAUUGUCUUUCCCUUUUGUCCUUAUUCAUCUUUCAGCAUCCCGAGAGAGAGGCAGUGACCACGGAAGAGCUUCUAUGUAUUUCUCUCUUUGUGGAAGUGAACCCACAAAGGAAAGAAUCCUUUUGUAUAGCCAGGGCCUAACAUUAUCAUUAUGUAGUUGAAAAGUUCUUGAAUGAAUAAGAUAAAUGAAUAAAUGAAUGAAUAAAUGAAUCUCCAGACCAAACCUAGAGAUUUUAUGAGCAGAAUCAAAAGCGUAAUUGUUGAGGACCUUUUGUUGGAAACAUCAGUGCUAUUUUGCUAAGCUCUGAAAUGCUUAAACUAUUAUGUAAUAAAAAUGAUCCUUCUCAAAAAUGGUGAUGUUUUGGAAAAAAGUGAAGUGUGUAUUCCUUGCUGGUGGUGUUAUCAAUUGAUAAAUCCUUUCAAAGCUAUGGCUCUCUAUAGGAAAACCACAGAGAUUCAUGUCCAUUGCCUUAGAAAUCUUCUCUUUUGCAAACACUUGAACACUCUAGAAGAAGCUAAACAUAAACAUUUUCAUUAUACUCUUUUUUUUUUUUGGUACUGGGUAUCAAACUUGGUACACUGCGCUUGUGAGGCAGGCGACGACGGCACCACUGAGCUAAAUCCUCGGCCCAUAUUACAAUCAAUUUUGACAAGAAAAAGUUAGAGAUAAACUAAAAAGCCAGCAAAAUAAUGAUUUUAUAGAUUAUGGAAUGUCAAUACAGUUUAAUAUUACGAUGCCAUAAGAAUAAUAAUUAAGUAGAAACAUCAAGCUAUGAGAAAAUAUAGGCGAAAAUAUUGAAAUAUAAAUCAUUAUGUAUAGCAUUAUUACAUUAUAAAUAUAAUAUAUUUAUAAUUGAUAGGGCUAUACAAAAAUAGUAGUUGC